rnacentral:rRNA from 1 species
UACGUAGGGUGCAAGCGUUGUCCGGAAUUAUUGGGCGUAAAGAGCUCGUAGGCGGUCUGUCGCGUCUGCUGUGAAAACUCAGGGCUUAACCCUGAGCUUGCAGUGGGUACGGGCAGACUAGAGGUGCGGUAGGGGAGACUGGAAUUCCUGGUGUAGCGGUGGAAAUGACGCAGAUAUCAGGAGGAACACCGGUGGCGAAGGCGGGUCUCUGGGCCGAUACUGACGCUGGAGGCGACGAAAGCCGUGGGGAGCAAACAGG